CUGCUGCUUUUCUCCAUCCGCGUCGACCUCGCCGACCCCGAUCUCGCCGCCGGACUCCAGGCUCUGGUCCGCGCGAACCACGACGCCGCCGCCGCAGCAGCAGCAGCACCGCCCUCGCCGGCGCCGCCGCCUCAGCGGCGGCCCGCGGCGCCCUGGGUCCGGCCACGCUGGGCGGAGAGGGAGAGCGCGCGCAGCCUGCUGCCGCCACCGAUCUCGUCGCUGCGGCGGCGGCCGGCGCUGGUGCGCACGCGCACGGGCGACGGGCGCCUCGUUAUCACGCACCGCGGCGAAGGGUCGGUCGGGCGCGGCGGCCUCGUCUGCACGCGGCGGCGCGAGGGGGAGGGCCAGGGCCAGGGCCACCUCACCAUGCGCCUCCUCUAGCGCGACGACCUCCACCUCCCACGACCUGACACGGCUUAGGAUGGUGUUAGUGUGCGCUGUGCUGCGUGUGGCUCUGAGCAAGAUUAUCAUGCUGGAAAUAAACUGAUAUUUCGAACAAACCAUUUGUUACGGCCCAACCUAUGAGUCAUUUUUAUGGUUACUGCGAUGGAUCAGUUAACAAAUACUGAAAUGAUACUCGAUACUCGAGUCGAGCACAGUAGCAUGAUCAACUGAAUCGAGCAUUCAGUGACAAUCGGUCCGCAUUCUCACACGAGAACAAACA
rnacentral:lncRNA from 1 species